AAUGAUUGAAAUUUCCGAGUUAUAUCUUCUAAAGCAGAAGCCAUGGAGAUAUAGCCGAUGGGUGUAAGGAGAAAUUUUUACGCCUCCCGUGAUUGGAAAGGAAAACACUUUGAUUAUCU
rnacentral:ncRNA from 2 species